rnacentral:rRNA from 1 species
AUUGAACGCUGGCGGCAUGCCUUACACAUGCAAGUCGAACGGCAGCACGGGAGCAAUCCUGGUGGCGAGUGGCGAACGGGUGAGUAAUAUAUCGGAACGUGCCCAGUAGUGGGGGAUAACUGCUCGAAAGAGCAGCUAAUACCGCAUACGACCUGAGGGUGAAAGGGGGGGAGCGCAAGACCUCUCGCUAUUGGAGCGGCCGAUAUCAGUUUAGCUAGUUGGUGGGGUAAAGGCCUACCAAGGCAACGAUCUGUAGUUGGUCUGAGAGGACGACCAGCCACACUGGGACUGAGACACGGCCCAGACUCCUACGGGAGGCAGCAGUGGGGAAUUUUGGGCAAUGGGCGCAAGCCUGAUCCAGCAAUGCCGCGUGCAGGAAGAAGGCCUUCGGGUUGUAAACUGCUUUUGUCAGGGAAGAAAUCCUCUAGGUUAAUACCCUUGGGGGGAUGACGGUACCUGAAGAAUAAGCACCGGCUAACUGCGUGCCAGCCGCCGCCGUAACAC